UACGAGGGGGGCGAGCGUUGUUCGGAAUUAUUGGGCGUAAAGGGUGCGUAGGCGGUUUGGUAAGUCUGAUGUGAAAUCUAUGGGCUCAACUCGUAGUCUGCAUCGGAAACUGCCGGGCUUGAGUGUGGGAGAGGUGAGUGGAAUUCCUGGUGUAGCGGUGAAAUGCGUAGAUAUGCGGAGGAACACCGAUGGCGAAGGCAAUCCCCUGGGCCUGUACUGACGCGCAUGCACGAAAGCGUGGGGAGCAAACAGG
rnacentral:rRNA from 1 species